GGCGCCGGGCGGGGGUCCCGGAGCGCGGCGUGAGGACGGGCAGCGCGGUGUGACGGCAGGCAGCUCGGCGCCAGGCCGCCCGCCGUUGUCCCCGAGCUCCCUCCGUGCAGCAGGGGCUCGGGAAUGCGCAGUGCGUCACGGCUUUCUGUACCGACGGGAAACCGUGCGUGGGAGCUCUAGGGAAAGCAGUGUAAAAUAAACGAGGUGAGAAUACCCUGGAAACGAGGUUGGAUUUCACAUUGUCCAUCUCACCCCACACAUCGGAUUGGGAUUUUGGUCCUCCAACCCAGUUCUCCAUGGGAUCAGAAGAGAUGGGACUCCUGGUGGACCAGGACAGAUGCAGUUUGCUUGCCCCGUUUCUAUCUCUGUUGGCACAUCACAAGAGGUUACCUGAGUGCUGCAGGAGCCUCCUGCAGGCAUAGCUGGAGUGUUUGGCUCCUGCCCCAUGUGCGUGCAAUGUGAGCACUACUGAGUUGCAGCUGAGGGCAGAAAUCUCGUGAGACACACUGAUGUCACCACUUGAACACUCUGAGAUGCUAGAGGACAGAAAGGCUUUUGCUCCUACCAAAACAGCCCCUGCUGCCCCUUUCUUUUACCAGUGGAUUUCUCUUGUAUACUGCGUUUCCCUGCUGCUGUUACUCGGGAACAGGGGAAAGGAAAUGUGAAUUCAGCUUACUGGCUGGACAAACUCUGCUGCCUGCAAACUGUGGUUGAGCAAGAUUUACCAUCCCUAGCCCUCCCCACCCUGGGUAAAUCCAGAGGCUUUAUAAUCACAGCUUUUGUCUUUGUUGUUUACUUUGUUCAAUCUUACUGUCCAGGAGAUACAACCCAGAGGGCAUGGCUUGACCUUGUAGAGCACAAGUGCAGAAGCUGAGCUCACACAGCACUGCAAAGAAAAUGAGUUGUAAGAUGGGAAAAACAGAGUGCAAGACCAUUGUGCAGAGAACUUGCUGCUGUUUGCUUGCCCCCAUUCUUUUUGCAUUUCCCAUCUCUUUCCACACAGUCAUUAGGUGAAACCUCUUGCAAAAGCCUUAUGAAACACCCUGCUGGCUUGCAGAGCAGUUAUAUGAGGCUGCAGGCAGGGCCAGGCAGCUUUGCCAGCCAGCUAUCCGAUUUGGUGGAGGUGUCUGGAGGGCAGAAGGGCUGGAGUGAGACAUCGUUAUCUGCAGUAGUGCCGGAUGGAGAGAUCCAGGUCCAGCACUCCUGCCCUCUUCUUUGCUCUUCCCACACAGCAGUGCUGUGUACUUGGCAAGCAGACCCAGAUUGAUAAAACACCUCAGAAUGAAAAUGCUGCCGUGCAGGGUACACUUGGCAGGUCUGCACUGUGUGUGCUGGAACUCAGGGCCUGCCCCGGACAAAGGUCUGUCUCAUGCAUCAUCUGUGCUAACUGGAAAGUUCUCUGCCUUGCCUGCUGAAGACUGACAGUUUAAAUGUUCAGGACCAUUGCAUGAGAGACACAAGGAUUUAGAAGGAGAUAUCUAGAAUUGUUUGAGAUGGAAGGGAUCUUUUAAGGUCACAUAGUCCAACUUGCCUGCAGUGAACACAAUGGACACCUACAGCUCCUUCCUCAAAGCCUGAUCCAGCUCUGAUCUGCUCUGCUGCUCACAUGCUCUAGGACUCUGGGUCCUUCCCAAGCUGCUUGGUGGGAUCAGGUCUCCCUGAAGACCUAGGUCUCUAUGCUCCAUCCUGCUUGGUGUCUUUUGGUCCUGCUUUAUGCUCCCUCACCACCCAGUCAAGCAGGAUUUAUGCUGGAAUGCAAGGUACAAAGGCUGUUUUACUUGGGUGCAUGGAAAUAAAGCACUACCGUGGGCCAGGCUUGUCACUAACAAAGAAAGUGGGUCCCCUGGCAAGGCCCAAGUCUCAAGGACUAUCAGUGGAAGAUAAAACUAUAGCCAUAGCUCUUCUCUUCCUCUGUCAAGGUAAGAAAUGUUUGAGCUUUAUCGCAAACACUUGAAUGCUCCCUGCACUCCCAGCCUGUCUGUUGGAAGUUCUGCUGCACCUCGGACUUCCUUCCUGCAAGAAAAG